GAGUACGAUCAUACUUAGUCGUAAAUACCCGUUCCCAUCCGAACACGGCAGUUAAGCGAUUACAGGCUGUUCUAGUACUUGGCUGGGUGACCGCCUGGGAACAAACAGUGUCGUACAAU
rnacentral:rRNA from 1 species